AACACAAAAUGGAGAACACCCGUAGGAUGGGAUGGGGUAGAGAUCCACGCCUAGAAAGAAGCAAACUACAAUAUCAAAGCCUUCCAAUCAUUUGUAAUCAUGAGUAGGCUAUAAUUACAAAAGAGUUUCUUCUGGUUUGAACACCACCAAGUAGUAUGCUACUAUGCUGUACAUUUCUCCAAAAAGAAUCCACCAAAGAUGGCCAAUUUUCAAAGGACUUCCCUCCUAGGCUCUCCAUCAGCCACCCAUCAAUCUUCUAAGGGAGACAUUCAGCCAACUUAAAAACCUGAAAGAAGGAAAAUCGUGUUGAACGGGAAAAUGGGCAGUAGGGCAGAAUGUGAUCCAAAGACACUCCCUCCUUCAAGCACAAACAGCAAAUAGAUGGAGACUCCCUCUGCAGCUUAUCCGAAGAGUUAAGGCUUCUAUGCAUGACCAACCAAAUAAAGACAUGAACUUUUUGCGCCCUUUUUUUUUCUUUCCAGUUGUAGUCCACCAUGGGAGUUCUAAGUUUAACAUUCAACUUAAUCAGGAUAGUUGGUAA